AGAGAGAGAGAGAGAAAAAAAAAAACACUCAUCAGGCGCAUCAAAAAACUCAAUAAAAAAAUCAACCAGUUAAAAUAUUCCCUCACACAACAUCCACGUUCAUCAACAA